rnacentral:rRNA from 1 species
AAAUGAAUUGACGGGAGCCCGCACAAGCAGUGGAGUAUGUUGUUUAAUUCGAUGCAACGCGAAGAACCUUACCAGGUCUUGACAUCUGCGGAAGUCGGCGUAAUGGCUGAUGUGCCCUUCGGGGAGCCGCAAGACAGGUAGUGCAUGGUUGUCGUCAGCUCGUGUCGUGAGAUGUUGGGUUAAGUCCCGCAACGAGCGCAACCCUUGCGAAUAGUUGCCAGCCCCAAAUCGGGGAGGAACUCUAUUUGGACUGCCGUUGACAAAACGGAGGAAGGUGGGGAUGAUGUCAAAUCAUCAUGCUCUUUAUGAUCUGGGCUACAAACGUACUACAAUGGCGCGAACAGAGGGGAGCGAAGGCGCGAGCCGGAGCAAAUCCCAAAAACGCGCCCCAGUUCGGAUUGCAGGCUGCAACUCGCCUGCAUGAAGUUGGAAUUGCUAGUAAUCGCGGAUCAGCAUGCCGCGGUGAAUACGUUCCCGGGCUUUGUACACACCGCCCGU